UACGAAGGGUGCAAGCGUUGCUCGGAAUUAUUGGGCGUAAAGGGUUGGUAGGUGGUCUUGUUUGUCUAGGGUGAAAUCCCAUGGCUUAACUGUGGAAGUGCCCUAGAAACGGCAAGACUAGAGUCCUAGAGGGGUUUGUGGAAUUCCCGGUGUAGCGGUGAAAUGCGUAGAGAUCGGGAGGAACACCAGCGGCGAAGGCGGCAAACUGGAUAGGCACUGACACUCAACAACGAAAGCGUGGGGAGCAAACAGGAUUAGAUACCCCCGUAGUCC
rnacentral:rRNA from 1 species